rnacentral:rRNA from 1 species
AGAGUUUGAUCCUGGCUCAGGAUGAACGCUAGCGGCAGGCUUAAUACAUGCAAGUCGAGGGGCAGCAGGGGUGUAGCAAUACAUCUGCUGGCGACCGGCAAACGGGUGCGGAACACGUACGCAAUCUACCCAAAACUGGUGAAUAGCCCUCCGAAAGGAGGAUUAAUACACCGUAACCUCACUGAGUGGCUUCACUUGAUGAGUAUAGCUCCGGCGGUUUUGGAUGAGCGUGCGCCUGAUUAGGUAGUUGGCGGGGUAACGGCCCACCAAGCCUUCGAUCAGUAACUGGUGUGAGAGCACGACCAGUCACACGGGCACUGAGACACGGGCCCGACUCCUACGGGAGGCAGCAGUAAGGAAUAUUGGUCAAUGGACGCAAGUCUGAACCAGCCAUGCCGCGUGAAGGAUGAAGGUCCUCUGGAUUGUAAACUUCUUUUAUCUGGGACGAAACCCGGGCAUUCCUGCCCGAUUGACGGUACCAGAGGAAUAAGCACCGACUAACUCCGUGCCAGCAGCCGCGGUAAUACGGAGGGUGCAAGCGUUAUCCGGAUUCAC